rnacentral:rRNA from 1 species
GACGUAGGAUGCGAGCGUUGUCCGGAUUCAUUGGGCGUAAAGAGUUCGUAGGCGGUUUGUUAAGUCUGAUGUUAAAGAUCGGGGCUCAACCCUGGGAGUGCAUUGGAUACUGGCAGACUGGAGUGCAGUAGAGGCGAGUGGAAUUCCCAGUGUAGCGGUGAAAUGCGUAGAUAUUGGGAAGAACACCGGUGGCGCAAGGCGGACUCGCUGGGCC